AGACCCGAAACCCGGUGAUCUAGCCAUGGGCAGGUUGAAGGUUGGGUAACACUAACUGGAGGACCGAACCGACUAAUGUUGAAAAAUUAGCGGAUGACCUGUGGCUGGGGGUGAAAGGCCAAUCAAACCGGGAGAUAGCUGGUUCUCCCCGAAAGCUAUUUAGGUAGCGCCUCGUGAAUUCAUCUCCGGGGGUAGAGCACUGUUUCGGCUAGGGGGCCAUCCCGGCUUACCAACCCGAUGCAAACUGCGAAUACCGGAGAAUGUUAUCACGGGAGACACACGGCGGGUGCUAACGUCCGUCGUGAAGAGGGAAACAACCCAGACCGCCAGCUAAGGUCCCAAAGUCAUGGUUAAGUGGGAAACGAUGUGGGAAGGCCCAGACAGCCAGGAUGUUGGCUUAGAAGCAGCCAUCAUUUAAAGAAAGCGUAAUAGCUCACUGGUCGAGUCGGCCUGCGCGGAAGAUGUAACGGGGCUAAACCAUGCACCGAAGCUGCGGCAGCGACACUCAGGUGUUGUUGGGUAGGGGAGCGUUCUGUAAGCCUGCGAAGGUGGCCUGUGAGGGUUGCUGGAGGUAUCAGAAGUGCGAAUGCUGACAUAAGUAACGAUAAAGCGGGUGAAAAGCCCGCUCGCCGGAAGACCAAGGGUUCCUGUCCAACGUUAAUCGGGGCAGGGUGAGUCGACCCCUAAGGCGAGGCCGAAAGGCGUAGUCGAUGGGAAACGGGUUAAUAUUCCCGUACUUGGUGUUACUGCGAAGGGGGGACGGAGAAGGCUAUGUUGGCCGGGCGACGGUUGUCCCGGUUUAAGCGUGUAGGUGUGUGUUCCAGGUAAAUCCGGUUCACUUUAACACUGAGGCGUGAUGACGAGGCACUACGGUGCUGAAGCAACAAA
rnacentral:rRNA from 1 species